UACAGAGGUCUCAAGCGUUGUUCGGAUUCAUUGGGCGUAAAGGGUGCGUAGGCGGCGCGGUAAGUCGGGUGUGAAAUCUUGGAGCUUAACUCCGAAACUGCAUUCGAUACUGCGGUGCUUGAGGACUGGAGAGGAGACUGGAAUUUACGGUGUAGCGGUGAAAUGCGUAGAUAUCGUAAGGAAGACCAGUGGCGAAGGCGGGGUCUCUGGACAGUUCCUGACGCUGAGGCACGAAGGCCAGGGGAGCAAACGGG
rnacentral:rRNA from 1 species